CUCCCAGGAGCACAAUGGAUAGCGCUUCGGACCUCUGAUCCAAAGGUCGUAAGUUUAAAUCCUACCUGGGAUG